rnacentral:rRNA from 1 species
GGGUUGUGAGGUUAAGCGACUAAGCGUACACGGUGGAUGCCCUGGCAGUCAGAGGCGAUGAAGGACGUGCUAAUCUGCGAUAAGCGUCGGUGAGGUGAUAUGAACCGUUAUAACCGGCGAUUUCCGAAUGGGGAAACCCAGUGUGUUUCGACACACUAUCAUUAACUGAAUCCAUAGGUUAAUGAGGCGAACCGGGGGAACUGAAACAUCUAAGUACCCCGAGGAAAAGAAAUCAACCGAGAUUCCCCCAGUAGCGGCGAGCGAACGGGGAGGAGCCCAGAGCCUGAAUCAGUGUGUGUGUUAGUGGAAGCGUCUGGAAAGGCGCGCGAUACAGGGUGACAGCCCCGUACACAAAAAUGCACAUGCUGUGAGCUCGAUGAGUAGGGCGGGACACGUGGUAUCCUGUCUGAAUAUGGGGGGACCAUCCUCCAAGGCUAAAUACUCCUGACUGACCGAUAGUGAACCAGUACCGUGAGGGAAAGGCGAAAAGAACCCCGGCGAGGGGAGUGAAAAAGAACCUGAAACCGUGUACGUACAAGCAGUGGGAGCCUCUUUUAUGGGGUGACUGCGUACCUUUUGUAUAAUGGGUCAGCGACUUAUAUUCUGUAGCAAGGUUAACCGAAUAGGGGAGCCGAAGGGAAACCGAGUCUUAACUGGGCGUUAAGUUGCAGGGUAUAGACCCGAAACCCGGUGAUCUAGCCAUGGGCAGGUUGAAGGUUGGGUAACACUAACUGGAGGACCGAACCGACUAAUGUUGAAAAAUUAGCGGAUGACUUGUGGCUGGGGGUGAAAGGCCAAUCAAACCGGGAGAUAGCUGGUUCUCCCCGAAAGCUAUUUAGGUAGCGCCUCGUGAAUUCAUCUCCGGGGGUAGAGCACUGUUUCGGCAAGGGGGUCAUCCCGACUUACCAACCCGAUGCAAACUGCGAAUACCGGAGAAUGUUAUCACGGGAGACACACGGCGGGUGCUAACGUCCGUCGUGAAGAGGGAAACAACCCAGACCGCCAGCUAAGGUCCCAAAGUCAUGGUUAAGU